AACAGAGUGUAGUUGUCAUUAACCUCAAUGUCAUAAAACUAAAGAAAGCAAAAGUGAGGCUGACAGAGGCUGGGUGGAAGAAGAGAAAACAAAAGGACACUGGUGUUGUGGACUGUUCCUCUUUGAAUUUGUGUGAUAAUUCUUCAUCAAAGAGAUUCAGGCUAUGCAGUGUGGCAAGAACACCACAGAAGUGAUGCACAGGGGGUCUCAGUUCCCCAACCAGGGAUUGAAACUGCGCCCUCUAUAUUAGAAGUAUGGAGGACUAACCACUGGACUGCAAGGGAAGUCCCAGGAAAGGAGGCAGAAGGAUAUCUGACUACAGUAGAGUAGACAAUGUGACAAUGGAGAUUACAGUGAUGCAACCAGAAGUCAAGGAACGUUGCAGGCUCUGACUUGGAAAGAGACAAG